rnacentral:rRNA from 1 species
UACAGAGGGUGCAAGCGUUAAUCGGAGUUACUGGGCGUAAAGGGCGCGUAGGCGGUUAUUUAAGUUUGAUGUGAAAUCCCUGGGCUUAACCUAGGAACUGCAUUGAAUACUGGGUAACUGGAGUACUGUAGAGGGUAGUGGAAUUUCCGGUGUAGCGGUGAAAUGCGUAGAGAUCGGAAGGAACACCAGUGGCGAAGGCGGCUACCUGGACAGAUACUGACGCUGAGGCGCGAGAGCGUGGGGAGCAAACAGG